rnacentral:rRNA from 1 species
UACGUAGGGGGCAAGCGUUGUCCGGAAUCAUGGGGCGUAAAGCGCGUGUAGGCGGCCCAGUAAGUCCGCUGUGAAAGCCCGGGGCUCAACCCCGGAACGGCAUCCGAUACGGGGCGGCUCGAGACCGAGAGAGGUGAGUGGAAUACCCAGUGUAGAGGUGAAAUUCGUAGAUAUUGGGUGGAACACCGGUGGCGAAAGCGGCUCACUGGCUCGGUUCUGACGCUGAGGCGCGAAAGCGUGGGGAGCAAACAGG